AUUAACUGACAAUCAGGUUUCUUAUACCUUGGUGAUGAGAGCUAGCUAAGGUCAGUGUGGUGCGACAACUCGAUCCGGCAACAUGGCGAAAUUGUUCCUACUUCUGGGUUUGGCGGCUGUGACCAUGGCGGUCCCUUACGAUAGCUACUUCCCCCCCAAGUAUGAGAAGACACCGCUAGGAGAGAGCAUCGACAGAUCAACCAUGAAACUACUUAAGGCGGCUUACGAUGUAGCUGAUGAUAAGAACGUCGUAUCCUCCCCACUUGGGCUCAUGAUGCUGCUCGCACUCUUCAAUUCGGGAGCCGGUCCGGAGACCAAGGAGGAAAUCAUCAAGUUCCUCGGAGGCACCGACUUCAAACAGACUUCAGAAUCGUACGAGGAGUUGAGCAACAGGUUCGCUUCCCUGAAUCCUGAGGCUCUGACUGUCGCCAACAAGAUCUACGUUAGCAACCAGUUCAAACUCCAAGACUCAUUCACCAGAGCCGCUGACAAGUACCGCAGCGAGGUCGACACCCUCGACUUCUCGAAGGCCGACGCCGCCGCCGCCAUCAUCAACAAAUGGGCUGACGAAAAAACACACGGAAACAUCAAAGAACCCGUCGAUGCGAGCAUGCUGAGCCCCGACGUAGCUGCUGCCCUCUUCAACGUCAUCUACUUCAAGGGUCAUUGGCACGUACCUUUUAAGGCAGCUAACACUAUGGACAAAGACUUCCACGCGAGCGACGGCAAUGUCGUGAAGAAGCCGACCAUGCACCUGGAACGGUCUCUGUACUACGCCGAGAGCCCCGAACUUAAAGCUAGGCUGGUGGAGUUGCCUUACAAAGAACAAGGUUUCCGCAUGGUGGUGGUUCUGCCUGAUGAGGUUGACGGACUACCCGCGGUGCUCGAGAAGGCUGCUACCUCUGGACUCCUCUCCGAUGUCUUCAAGCUAAGGCCCGCUGGAGCUCAGGUCCACCUAGACCUCCCCAAGUUUGAUAUCAAGAGCAAACUUGAUUUCAACGUCAUCUUACCCAAGAUUGGAGUGUCCAAACUUUUCAACGAAGCCGCGACCGGUAUUGUAAAUGCUCCAGUCAAGGUGUCCAAGGCUUUCCAGGAAGCCUUCAUCAAGGUCGACGAGGAGGGCGCUGAGGCCGGAGCUUUCACUGGACUUAUAAUGGUAGAAUUGUCUUCAUUAUCUGAGCCACCGGCGCCAAUAAUGUUUACCGUUGACCGGCCAUUCUUGUAUCUCAUCCUGUUCGAAGACAAAUUAGUGUUUGCUGGCACACACGCCCAUUGAUCUGAACUUCGUUUCUUAUCAACAAAGAGUGCAAUGAUAAUGAUACCGCCUUUAAGGGACAUUUACUUCAAGGUAGAUCGUCCAUUCCUAUACCUUCUUCUCAAUGAGGAUAAGGUUAUUUUUGCUGGCACAAACACGCACUGAGGUGCUUUUAUCGUCCCGUGUUCUUCAGCCUACCGCCCACCGCCACCAAUUUUCUUCAAUGUUGAUCGUCCUUUCCUCUACGCAAUCCUGCAAGGCGAUAGCAUUUUAUUUGCCGGCACUUAUUCACAUUAAUCCCCAAAUUGAAUUGAAAUGUCAAAAUUCAAUUUGCUCACAAGAGGACAAAACUCAAUUUGUUAAAAUAAAUUCAUAAAAAGAUUUGAAAA